rnacentral:rRNA from 1 species
AAUUCCAAUCGAACCCGGAGAUAGCUGGUUCUCUCCGAAAUAGCUUUAGGGCUAGCGUCGAGUAUGAGUAGUGGAGGUAGAGCACUGAAUGGGCUAGGGGGCAUAGCGCUUACCGAACCUUAUCAAACUCCGAAUGCCACAUACUUUGAGCUCGGCAGUCAGACUACGAAUGAUAAGAUCCGUGGUCAAAAGGGAAACAGCCCAGAUCGUCAGCUAAGGUCCCAAAGUGUAAGUUAAGUGGGAAAGGAUGUGAGAUUUCUAAGACAACUAGGAUGUUGGCUUAGAAGCAGCCAUUCAUUAAAAGAGUGCGUAAUAGCUCACUAGUCGAGAGAUCUUGCGCCGAAAAUGUAACGGGGCUAAACUUACCACCGAAGCUACGGGCUUGAACUUAGUUCAAGCGGUAGGAGAGCGUCGUAACCGGGCUGAAGUCGUACCGUAAGGAGCGGUGGACUGGUUACGAGUGAGAAUGUUGGCAUCAGUAGCGAGAUGUGGGUGAGAAUCCCACAGGCCGAAAACCUAAGGUUUCCUCAGGAAGGUUCGUCCGCUGAGGGUUAGUCGGGACCUAAGCCGAGGCCGAAAGGCGUAGGUGAUGGACAACUGGUUGAUAUUCCAGUACCACUACCAUCGUUAUUAUCGAUGGCGUGACGCAGGAGGAUAGUGUGUGCUAGCUAUUGGAUGCUAGUCUAAGCGUUUAGGCAGUGAGAGUAGGCAAAUCCGCUCUCAUAAUGCUGAGGCGUGAUGGGGAAGGUUCCACGGAACCGAAGUACAUGAUUCCACGCUGCCAAGAAAAGCGUCUAGAGAGAGAAGUAGUGCCCGUACCGCAAACCGACACAGGUAGGUGAGGAGAGAAUCCUAAGGCCGGCGGAAGAAUUACAGUUAAGGAACUCGGCAAAUUGACCCCGUAAGUUCGCGAGAAGGGGUGCCUACGAGAGUAGGCCGCAGAGAAUAGGCCCAAGCAACUGUUUAGCAAAAACACAGGUCUCUGCUAAAGCGUAAGCUGAUGUAUAGGGGCUGACGCCUGCCCGGUGCUGGAAGGUUAAGGGGAACACUUAGCGCAAGCGAAGGUGUGAACUUAAGCCCCAGUAAACGGCGGCCGUAACUAUAACGGUCCUAAGGUAGCGAAAUUCCUUGUCAGGUAAGUUCUGACCCGCACGAAUGGCGUAAUGACUUGGGCACUGUCUCAACUGUAAAUCCGGCGAAGUUGUAGUGCGAGUGAAGAUGCUCGCUACCCGCGAUUGGACGGAAAGACCCCGUAGAGCUUUACUGUAGCUUAGCAUUGAGUUUUGGUAUUGUCUGUACAGGAUAGGUGGGAGACUAGGAAACCAGGGCGUCAGCCUUGGUGGAGUCAACCUUGGGAUACCACCCUGACAGUACUGAAAUUCUAACUGGCGGCCAUGAAUCUGGUCACAGGACAUUGUUAGGUGGGCAGUUUGACUGGGGCGGUCGCCUCCUAAAAAGUAACGGAGGCGCCCAAAGGUUCCCUCAGAACGGUCGGAAAUCGUUCGAAGAGUGCAAAGGCAGAAGGGAGCCUGACUGCGACACCCACAAGUGGAGCAGGGACGAAAGUCGGGCUUAGUGAUCCGGUGGUACCUCGUGGGAGGGCCAUCGCUCAACGGAUAAAAGCUACCUCGGGGAUAACAGGCUGAU